AUACGGAGGGGGCAAGCGUUAUUCGGAAUCACUGGGCGUAAAGGACGCGUAGGCGGGUUGGCAAGUCAGAUGUGAAAUCCUACAGCUUAACUGUAGAACUGCAUUUGAAACUGCUAACCUAGAGUAUGGGAGGGGGAGAUGGAAUUAGUGGUGUAGGGGUAAAAUCCGUAGAUAUCACUAGGAAUACCGAAAGCGAAGGCGAUCUCCUGGAACAUAACUGACGCUAAGGCGUGAAAGCGUGGGGAGCAAACAGGAUUAGAAACCCCAGUAGUCC
rnacentral:rRNA from 1 species